UGCCAUAUCCAAUGCUUCUCCAGAAUCCAUCUGGAGAACCAUUCGACAUGGCAU
rnacentral:pre_miRNA from 1 species